rnacentral:rRNA from 1 species
UACGUAGGGACCGAGCGUUGUCCGGAAUCAUUGGGCGUAAAGAGCGUGUAGGCGGCUUGUUAAGUCUUGCGUGAAAUCUCGGGGCUCAACCCCGAGCGGUCGUGAGAAACUGGCAGGCUAGAGUGCGGGAGAGGAGAGUGGAAUUCCUGGUGUAGCGGUGAAAUGCGCAGAUAUCAGGAAGAACACCCGUGGCGAAGGCGGCUCUCUAGUACGGUACUGACGCUGAGACGCGAAAGCGUGGGGAGCGAACAGG